rnacentral:rRNA from 1 species
UAGGUAGGAGGCAAGAGUUAUCCGGAAUUACUGGGCGUAAAGCGCAAGCAGAUGGCUAUGUAAGAUUGACGUGAAAGCUUCUGGCUUAACUGGAAGAGGUCGUUGAUGAUUGGAUGGCUUGAGACGUGGAGAGGGGUGCAGAAUUCCCGGUGUAGUGGUGGAAUGCGUAGAUAUCGGGAGGAAUACCAGUGGAGAAAGCGGCACCCGGGCCUUAGUCUGAUGCGCACGUGCGAAAGCGUGGGGAGCAAACGGG